rnacentral:rRNA from 1 species
AAUAGAUACCCCGGUAGUCCACACCGUAAACGUUGGGCGCUAGGUGUGGGAUCCAUUCCACGGGUUCCGUGCCGCAGCUAACGCAUUAAGCGCCCCGCCUGGGGAGUACGGCCGCAAGGCUAAAACUCAAAGGAAUUGACGGGGGCCCGCACAAGCGGCGGAGCAUGCGGAUUAAUUCGAUGCAACGCGAAGAACCUUACCUGGGUUUGACAUACACCGGAAGCCUCCAGAGAUGGGGGUCUCUUUGAUACUGGUGUACAGGUGGUGCAUGGCUGUCGUCGGCUCGUGUCGUGAGAUGUUGGGUUAAGUCCCGCAACGAGCGCAACCCUCGUCCUAUGUUGCCAGCGGGUUAUGCCGGGGACUCAUAGGAGACUGCCGGGGUCAACUCGGAGGAAGGUGGGGAUGACGUCAAGUCAUCAUGCCCCUUAUGUCCAGGGCUUCACGCAUGCUACAAUGGCCGGUACAAAGGGCUGCGAUGCUGUAAGGCGGAGCGAAUCCCAAAAAGCCGGUCUCAGUUCGGAGUUGGGGUCGUGCAACUCGA